rnacentral:rRNA from 1 species
CAGUAGCCACGGUAAUACGCAGGUGGCAAGCGUUGUCCGGAAUUAUUGGGCGUAAAGGGCUCGCAGGCGGUUUCUUAAGUCUGAUGUGAAAGCCCCCGGCUCAACCGGGGAGGGUCAUUGGAAACUGGGAAACUUGAGUGCAGUAGAGGAGAGUGGAAUUCCACGUGUAGCGGUGAAAUGCGUAGAGAUGUGGAGGAAUACCAGUGGCGAAGGCGACUCUCUGGUCUGUAACUGACGCUGAGGAGCGAAAGCGUGGGGAGCGAACAGGAUUAGAGACCCCCGUAGUCCCUGUCUCUUAUAC